rnacentral:lncRNA from 1 species
CAAACAUAUCAAUUGAGGGGACCAGGGAUUAUCUUACCCUUUUGGUCCUAAAAAAAUUUGCAUCCCACAGCCCCUGGUUCAAUUUUUCUGGACCAUACCUCUAUGUAGUCUUAAGUGAUAUACAUUGUCCUCUACAAGGAUUGUCGUUAAUCUAUCCAGUAUCAGAUAUUGUAUGUUUGGUCAUCCCCAUAACCUAGGGUGAGAAUUUACCUCCACCAAUGGUGUGAAGAGGAGGUAAGGAAAUCAGGAAGAUGAGGUGUAGGACAGUGAAGUUGUUUUGUCCAUGGGACUUUGGUAUCUCUAGUUACGAGGGAUGUGUAGUGUAAAGAAUGAUGUGCACUUGGACAGCAAGUAACUCUGACUGUCCUGGGGUCCUGUAUUGAGACUGACAUGAUCUUGGGUACAAAGGGGCAAGGGCAAAUACUUCUGUGCCAGGUACCUAGCUAAGUUAUCUGUCCACCUUCCUGUUGUUGAUGCUGUGCCUGGUGAUCAGUGAACCCAUAAGAGUACAGUGGCAAUUGGAAGCUUGGGCAUGGAAUGGGCAUGAGAUAAAUAUGUGGGGGAAUGGAUUGUGUGUCCUCAGGGAAGGGACUAUUUGUGGUUUGAUUUUCUUCCAUUAUGGCAGGGCAAUAUAACUUUUGAAGAUGUAGCCAUACACUUCUCUUGUGAAGAAUGGAAUCUCCUUGACCAGGCUCAACAAUGCCUGUACCGUGAUGUGAUGGUGGAGAACUUGGCCCUUAUAACUUCCCUGGGUAAGUUCCUGACACCCACCCAUGAGCCCCGAGCAAGUCUGUUUUCUCGCCCUUUUUCUGAGAGGCAGGUCUGUCCUCACACAGGACCAUUGGCUCUACUUCCCUCUGCUCCCUGGGUAGGUUCUGUGGUUAGUAGGAUUGAGAUGUGUACUGCUUUUCUUUGCCUAAGCAUCCCCAACUCUGUUUCCCUGUAGCCUCACAAGGAGACUCGGGAUCAGAAGCCUUGCAGUCACGUUGCUGCAUCCUGCCUUCUUUCCCUCUCCAUGAUUCGAUGUCUUUGUCCAGCUUUGACACCUCUAUGUGCGCCAGGUUCUGCUUCCUUCUUCUAACCAAUGUUUCCUUAUGACUGCCUGUACCAGGGAUCAUGCCACUGAAAUGCUCAUACUUACAGGGACUGUACUAUUCUUACAAGACCUUUCUUUGAAAUUUUCUUUCUAAUAUUUGUUUUAUUUCUCUGGGCUAUCGUGUGCUAAAUUUUUUCUGGGUCAAUGCUGGCUGCUCUUGUUUCCC